rnacentral:misc_RNA from 1 species
GAUGAAGAACGUAGCGAAAUGCGAUAAGUAAUGUGAAUUGCAGAAUUCAGUGAACCAUCGAAUCUUUGAACGCACAUUGCGCCCGCCAGCACUCUGGCGGGCAUGCCUGUUCGAGCGUCAUUUCAACCAUCAAGCCCCCAGGGGCUUGUGCUGGGGCCCUGCGGCUGCCCGCAGGCCCUGAAAACCAGUGGCGGGCUCGCUAGUCACACCGAGCGCAGUAGCACAUCUCGCUCAGGGCGUGCGGCGGGCUCCUGCCGUGAAACCCCCCACUGUAACCCCAAAGGUUGACCUCGGAUCAGGUAGGAAUACCCGCUGAACUUAAGCAUAUCAAUAAGCGGAGGA